CGUAGGGUGCAAGCGUUGUCCGGAAUUAUUGGGCGUAAAGAGCUCGUAGGCGGUUCGUCGCGUCGGCUGUGAAACCCGGAGCUCAACUCCGGGCCUGCAGUCGAUACGGGCGGACUUGAGUGUUGCAGGGGAGACUGGAAUUCCUGGUGUAGCGGUGAAAUGCGCAGAUAUCAGGAGGAACACCGGUGGCGAAGGCGGGUCUCUGGGCAACUACUGACGCUGAGGAGCGAAAGCGUGGGGAGCGAACAGGAUU
rnacentral:rRNA from 1 species